GGGCCUCUAGCUCAGUUGGCAGAGCAUCGGACUUUUAAUCCGCCGGUCGUCGGUUCGAGCCCGACGGGGCCCA
rnacentral:tRNA from 1 species